GAGGUCCGACCUGCCCAGUGACAUCAAUUAAACGGCCGCGGUACUCUGACCGCGCUAAGGUAGCACAAUCACUUGUCUCCUAAAUAGGGACUAGUAUCAAAGGACCCACGAGAAUCUAACUGUCUCCUUUUUUUAAUCUGUGAAACUAAUCUCCUCGUGAAAAAGCGAGAAUGACCAUAUAAGACGAGAAGACCCUACGGAGCUUUAGAUAAAACAAUACUUUCUUUCCCUGCAUCACCUUCAGAGUGCUACCCGCUAAAGCAUUUUAUUAUUUAUCUUCGGUUGGGGCGACCGCGGAGCAAAAUCUACCCUCCACGCUGAAUGAGGACACCCCCUCCUCCCCCCGAGCUACAGCUCUACGCAUCAAAAAAUUGACAAUUGACCCAAUGCUUGAUCAACGAAACAAGUUACCCUAGGGAUAACAGCGCAAUCUACU
rnacentral:rRNA from 1 species